GACGAACGCUGGCGGCGUGCCUAAUACAUGCAAGUCGAACGCUUCUUUCCUCCCGAGUGCUUGCACUCAAUUGGAAAGAGGAGUGGCGGACGGGUGAGUAACACGUGGGUAACCUACCCAUCAGAGGGGGAUAACACUUGGAAACAGGUGCUAAUACCGCAUAACAGUUUAUGCCGCAAGGCAUAAGAGUGAAAGGCGCUUUCGGGUGUCGCUGAUGGAUGGACCCGCGGUGCAUUAGCUAGUUGGUGAGGUAACGGCUCACCAAGGCCACGAUGCAUAGCCGACCUGAGAGGGUGAUCGGCCACACUGGGACUGAGACACGGCCCAGACUCCUACGGGAGGCAGCAGUAGGGAAUCUUCGGCAAUGGACGGAAGUCUGACCGAGCAACGCCGCGUGAGUGAAGAAGGUUUUCGGAUCGUAAAGCUCUGUUGUUAGAGAAGAACAAGGACGUUAGUAACUGAACGUCCCCUGAUGGUAUCUAACCAGAAAGCCACGGCUAACUACGUGCCAGCAGCCGCCGUAA
rnacentral:rRNA from 1 species